GAUGAACGCUGGCGGCGUGCCUAAUACAUGCAAGUCGAGCGAACGGACGAGAAGCUUGCUUCUCUGAUGUUAGCGGCGGACGGGUGAGUAACACGUGGAUAACCUACCUAUAAGACUGGGAUAACUUCGGGAAACCGGAGCUAAUACCGGAUAAUAUUUUGAACCGCAUGGUUCAAAAGUGAAAGACGGUCUUGCUGUCACUUAUAGAUGGAUCUGCGCUGCAUUAGCUAGUUGGUAAGGUAACGGCUUACCAAGGCAACGAUGCAUAGCCGACCUGAGAGCGUGAUCGGCCACACGGGAACUGAGACACGGUCCAGACUCCUACGGGAGGCAGCAGUAGGGAAUCUGCCGCAGUGGGCGAGAGCCUGACGGAGCAACGCGGCGUGAGUGAUGAAGGUCUUCGGAUCGUAAAACUCUGUUAUUAGUGAAGAACAUAUUUGGAAGUAACUGUGCACAUCUUGACGGUACCUAAUCAGAAAGCCACGGCUAACUACGUG
rnacentral:rRNA from 1 species